rnacentral:tRNA from 1 species
AGGCCAAUAGUUCACUGGUAGAACGCAUGUUUGAUAGACGUGAGAAGUGGGUUCAAUUCCCUCUUGGCCUA